GACAACUUAUUUUUAAGGGCAUCCAGCGGGAUCGUCGUGCUACAUUACGCAAGGCAGUGGAUGGGGACAAAGCUACAACGGACUCUGUCUCCGGUAUGUAUGCCUAAAGUCCGGCUAUCAAAAUGACUGAUAGAUGGGACAAGAAACGUCCUAAUUCACUAUAUGAUUUGAAUUUUUAUAGCAGAUAUGAGAUGAAAUCGACCAAUCUAGGAUGAUUCUGCUUUAUGAGGUUUUGGGGCUAGCUGGAGACAUUUGGCAACUUCCAGCGAAAUUCAGAGUUUGCCAGACCGAUCGCUGAGGAAGUGAGCAAAGUGAU
rnacentral:lncRNA from 1 species